UAACACAUGCAAGUCGACACGGUAACAGGCCGCUGGGAUCCCUUCGGGGUGAACUUGGCGCUGACGAGUGGCGGACGGGUGAGUAAUGCGUAGGAAUUUGCCUCAAAGCGGGGGAUAGCCCGGAGGAAUUCGGAUUAAUACCGCAUGUGCUCUACGGAGGAAAGCGGGCCUCUACUUGUAAGCUCGCACUUUGAGAUAAUCCUACGUCGGAUUAUCUUGUUGGUAGGGUAACGGCCUACCAAGGCGACGAUCCGUAGCUGGUUUGAGAGGAUGAUCAGCCACACUGGGACUGAGACACGGCCCAGACUCCUACGGGAGGCAGCAGUGGGGAAUAUUGGACAAUGGGCGAAAGCCUGAUCCAGCAAUGCCGCGUGUGUGAAGAAGGCCUGCGGGUUGUAAAGCACUUUUAUCAGGAAAGAAAAUCAUAGGGAUAAUACCCCUGUGCCUUGACGGUACCUGAUGAAUAAGCACCGGCUAACUCCGUGCCA
rnacentral:rRNA from 1 species